GAUGAACGCUGGCGGCGUGCCUAAUACAUGCAAGUCGAGCGAACAGAUGAGGAGCUUGCUCCUCUGACGUUAGCGGCGGACGGGUGAGUCACACGUGGAUAACCUACCUAUAAGACUGGGAUCACUUCGGGAAACCGGAGCUAAUACCGGAUAAUAUAUUGAACCGCAUGGUUCAAUAGUGAAAGACGGUUUUGCUGUCACUUAUAGAUGGAUCCGCGCCGCAUUAGCUAGUUGGUAAGGUAACGGCUUACCAAGGCAACGAUGCGUAGCCGACCUGAGAGGGUGAUCGGCCACACUGGAACUGAGACACGGUCCAGACUCCUACGGGAGGCAGCAGUAGGGAAUCUUCCGCAAUGGGCGAAAGCCUGACGGAGCAACGCCGCGUGAGUGAUGAAGGUCUUCGGAUCGUAAAACUCUGUUAUUAGGGAAGAACAAAUGUGUAAGUAACUAUGCACGUCUUGACGGUACCUAAUCAGAAAGCCACGGCUAACUACGUG
rnacentral:rRNA from 1 species